rnacentral:rRNA from 1 species
ACGGAAGGCAGCAGUGAGGAAUAUUGGUCAAUGGGCGAGAGCUUGAACCAGCCAAGUCGCGUGCGGGAUGAAGGCCCUACGGGUCGUAAACCGCUUUUAUACGGGAAUAAAGUGCGCCACGCGUGGCGUUUUGCAGGUACCGUAGGAAUAAGGAUCGGCUAACUCCGUGCCAGCAGCCGCGGUAAUACGGAGGAUUCGAGCGUUAUCCGGAUUUAUUGGGUUUAAAGGGUGCGCAGGCGGCCUGCUAAGUCUCCGGUGAAAUGUCAGGGCUCAACCUUGGCACUGCCGGAGAUACUGGCGGGCUUGAGAGUGGCGGACGUCGCCGGAAUGUGUGGUGUAGCGGUGAAAUGCUUAGAUAUGUCAUAGAACCCCGAUUGCGAAGGCAGCUUACCAGCAUACAACUGACGCUGAGGCACGAAAGCGUGGGUAUCAAACAGGAUUAGAUACCCUGGUA